CAUGCUAAAGCACUUUUUCAAUGUGCUCCCCAACGAGAAGGCGACGACCCAUUCGUAUGUCAAUCAAUAUCAACUUUCGAUGCCAUUGACUGCACCUACCAUGGUGACCACGGGUAACGGGGAAUCAGGGUUCGAUUCCGUACAGGGACCCUGACAAAUGACUACCACAUGCAAGAAAGGCAG